UCGGGUUCGGGUUCGGAUUCGGGUUCGGAAUCGGGAUCGGGUUUAGGUUUGGGUUUUCAAGUUUAGGUUUAGGUUUAGGUUAGGGAGUUGAGAUUAGGAUUUGGUAUAGGUUUAGGUUUAGGGAUUUGAGAAUAGGUUAAGGUUUAAGUUUAGGUUUAGGUUUAGGUUUUAGCUUAUAGGUUUAGGUUAUAGGUUUAGGUUUUGGUUUUAGGUUUAGGUUAAGGUUAUAAGUUUCAGUUAUAGGUUAUAAGUUAUAGGUUAAGGUUUAGGUUAUAGGUUUUGGUUUAAGUUUAGGUUAUAAGUUA